rnacentral:rRNA from 1 species
AGGACGAACGCUGGCGGCGUGCUUAACACAUGCAAGUCGAGCGGAAAGGCCCUUCGGGGUACUCGAGCGGCGAACGGGUGAGUAACACGUGAGUAAUCUGCCCCUAGCUCUGGGAUAGCUCCGGGAAAACCGGGAUUAAUACCGGAUACGACCUCAUUAGGCAUCCUUUGAGGUGGAAAGAUUUAUCGGCUAGGGAUGGGCCCGCGGCCUAUCAGCUUGUUGGUGGGUAACGCCUACCAAGGCGACGACGGUA